GAGUUUGAUCCUGGCUCAGGAUGAAUGCUGGCGGCGUGCCUAAUACAUGCAAGUCGAGCGGUAACAUGGAAUAGCUUGCUAUUCUGAUGACGAGCGGCGGACGGCUGAGUAACGCGUGGGAACGGACCCCAAACUGAGGGAUAACUAUUCGAAAGAGUAGCUAAUACCGCAUGUGAUCUUCGGAUUAAAGGAUUUAUCCGGUUUGGGACUGGCCUGCGUACGAUUAGAUAGUUGGUGAGGUAACGGCUCACCAAGUCGACGAUCGUUAGAUGGUUUGAGAGGAUGAUCAUCCAGACUGGGACUGAGACACGGCCCAGACUCCUACGGGAGGCAGCAGUAGGGAAUCUUUCACAAUGGGCGAAAGCCUGAUGGAGCAACGCCGCGUGCAGGAUGAAGGCCUUCGGGUUGUAAACUGCUUUUAUAAGCGAGAAAUAUGAUGGUAACUUAUGAAUAAGGAUCGGCUAACUACGUGCCAGCAGCCGCGGUCAUACGUAGGAUCCGAGCAUUAUCCGGAGUGACUGGGCGUAAAGAGUUGCGUAGGUGGAUGUUUAAGUAGGUAGUGAAAUCUGGUGGCUCACCAUUCAGACUAUUACCUAAACUGGACGUCUCGAGAGCGUCAUGG
rnacentral:rRNA from 1 species